ensembl:lncRNA LINC01206 long intergenic non-protein coding RNA 1206
CUUGGCAGUUGAGAUUCAGACCUUGACAGUUGUAACCGAUAGACUGGGCUGGGGCAACGCUGAUGAAAGGCAAAUUCCUGAGAGAAAAAUCACCCAGACUUUCUAGAAGUUGUUAUGAGUGGACCUGACUACCUAGAGAGAGUAAUACAGAAGCUCCGUGCCGAUCACAGCUACCUCAUUACCAUGUUCCUCCAAGAUGGCCGCCCCUGAGGAGAAUCAUCAACUGGGCUUUACGGAAGAGAGAAAUCCAAACGACCAUCAGCAACAAAUGAAAGACUGAAGUUGAAAGGAAAUCCAUAAUUUUUGAAUGCUGGCCGAGGUCUGUGACCUCUGACUGAAUGGUUUCCAAGCUCCGAAUUCCUAGGUGAUGUUUUCAUUUGUUCACACUUGCUGAAGAAGGGAAAGGCUCUCUGAUUUACGUGUAAGCAAAACAAUCUAAACAGUAGGAUAAAAUCAUGUUGGAAUGGAGUUCUGUGUGGAUGCUCCUUUGAACCAAAUCAGUUCCACAACUGACCCUGUCAGGGACAUAUAAAUUUAGCAUUUUGGUGUGGAUACAGAAGACGAGAUUAACACAGAUCAAGUAACAUGGAAAUAAAAAAGGAGACAAUGCUGGAUGAUACAGGGGCAGCCAACAAGAGGAGAAAACCCAAGCAUUGGCAAAUGCCUCAUUAUCCAAAGAACACUGAGGUGUGGAGCAAAACUGUGUUGAAUGAACUGUAGAUGGAAAUUCUCUCCUUCCCACCGAGGAGCCGCUGCAGGUUGCAGACUCCCAGAAUGCCACACUGAGAAGAGGAGGGCUAAAAUUCUAGAGCAGAAUCCCUGGGGCAGCCCCUGCUGAAGAAGGGUGCAUCUGUUGAGAAUCUCAUCACCGCCCCCACCCCGCCCAGCCUUCAAUUUAGAGGAAUUUCUAGUUCACGCAGAAUGAAGACAAGAUCACAUAAGUGAGGACGACGCCCCAUUUACAAGUGUGAUUUGGAAGACUGAAGUGGAAACCUUGGGAAGGGGCCUCAGAGUAUGUCAGCUGGGGUCAGACGGGAACAGGAGUCUGGCUCAACACACAUUUAUUGCACUCCUGUUUCAUGCCAAGAAAUGUACCAAAAUCUGGGACUGUGUAACACAGCAAAGGAAAAGACUCAUCUCCAGGAAGCCCCCUUGUCUAGGAAGAGAAAUUGAAUAUCAGCAUAAGGUGGUGAAAAGCUGUGAAGGAGAUGAGUGCCAGGAGUCCAUGGAGGAAGGAUUCUAGCCUGGACAGGUGAUUGUGGUGAAUAGUCAUGAGAAUCUGGGAACUGGCUCCUGCUCUGUCUAUCUUGGAGAUGCAUCUUUUGUGAGAAGCCAGGGCAAGAAUAGGGAGGCUUAGGCAAUGGGAAGUUUCUGAGUAGAUAAAGCAGAUGGCAGAGCAAAGGGACAGAGCCUGGCGAGAGGCUACUCCCUGUAGCAACCUGCCUAAGAGUGAGAGGAAAGCAAGGCAUGGCUAUGAGCACGUGUAGUCUCAGCUACUUGGGAAGCUGAGGCUGGGGGAUCACUUGAGCCCAGGAGUUCAAGACCAGCCUAGGCAACAUAGUGAGA